CUAACGACAAAUCCAACCCAGUUAAGAUCACUGUCAGGACCAUUUCCUGUAUUGGUGGAGGAGAAAACUGAUGCUCCCUCCUAUUGGGAUACAGAUGCAGAGAACUCGAUAUUCAAAAGCUGGAGCUACAGCUGCGGCAAAUUAAAAUGGAAAUUAUGAUGGCAGUGGCCUACUUGAGUUUCACAAAACUUCCACUGAGAUUGAGACCAGCAUGCAAGACCAAAGUCAAAAAACACAACAAGAUUCACAAUAUGGAAUCAAAAGGAGCUGACAGGGUAGACUGAUUUAUUAAAACACAGAUGAUAACACAGACAGAAAUUUCAACAGCGGUAGUCUUCGAUAUGUUAAAGAUACUGCUGUGGGUGUACAUGGACUUCUGAAGCAUCAGUCUGAUUUACUAGCAGAACUGUGAAUGCAACAUCUCUAGCCAGAAAUAAUUAUCCUGAGCGGCAUGUCUUUCUCGGUACUGAAAACUAACCAUGGAUACUGGAGGCUGAUAGAACCAAGCAUGGACACUGGUAAAACCUACCCUGGAUGUUGAUAGAAACAACCAUGGAUGCUGAUAGAACCUACUGUAGAAGCCGAUAUAACCAACAUUGGACAAUAUCAUAACUUACCAUGGGCAGUGAAAGAAUUGAAGAAUUGACCAAAGGCAGUAAAGUUCAAGCAUAUUCCUCAGGAUCCCCUACAUCUCUACAUAGAGGGACACGCAAACAGCCACAUCAUAUUCCUGAGGACCUUUACAUCUCUACAAGGAGGGACACACAAACAGACACAUCAUAUUCCUGAGGACCUUUACAUAUCUACUAGGAGGGACACAUAAACAGACUCAUCAUAUUCCUGAGGACCUUUACAUCUCAACAUAAAGGGUCACACAAACAGCCACAUCAUAUUCCUGAGGACCUUUACUUCUCAACAAUGAGGGACACACAAACAGCCACAUCAUAUUCCUGAGGACCUUUACAUCUCAAUAUAGAGGGACACACAAACAGACGCAUCAUAUUCCCGAGGACCUUUACAUCUCUACACGGAGGAACACACAAACAGCCACAUCAUAUUCCUGAGGACCUUUACUUCUCAACCUAAAGGGUCACACAAACAGCCAAAUCAUAUUCCUGAGGACCUUUACAUCUUUACAAGGAGGGACACACAAACAGCCACAUCAUAUUCCUGAGGACCUUUACAUCUCAAAAUAGAGGGACACAGAAACAAUCACAUCAUAUUCCUGAGGACCUUUACAACUCAAAAUAGAGGGACACACAAACAGACACAUCAUAUUCCUGAGGACCUUUACAUCUCAAAAUAGAGGGACACAGAAACAGCCACAUCAUAUUCCUGAGGAUCUUUACAUCUCUACAAGGAGGGACACACAAACAGCCACAUCGUAUUCCUGAGGACCUUUACAUCUCUACAAGGAGGGACACACAAACGGCCACAUCAUAUUCCUGAGGAUCUUUACAUCUCAAAAUAGAGGGACACACAAACAGCCACAUCAUAUUCCUGAAAACCUUUACAUCUCAACAUAGAGGGGUACACAAACAGCCACAUCAUAUUCCUGAAAACCUUUACAUCUCAACAUAGAGGAACAGAUAAACAGCCACAUCAUAUUCCUGAGGACCUUUACAGGUCAAAAUAGAGGGACACACAAACAGCCACUUCGUUUUCCUGAAGAUCUUUACCUCUCAACGUAGAGGGACACACAAACAGCCACAUCAAAUUCCUGAGGACCUUUACAUCUCAACAUAGAGGGACACACAAACAGCCACAUCAUGUUCCUGGAGACCUUUACAUCUCAAUAUUUAGUGACACACAAACAGCCAUAUCAUAUUCCUGAGGACCUUUCAGCAAAUUGAGUUAUUGUCCUGUGUUACGUUUCUUGAUCAGAACCAUUUUUGAAAACUACAGGAUGUAUUUCAACUACUGUCUACACACCACAGUUAAGCACAAUGAGAAUAAGUAGAGUGUACAAGAAACUGUUAAAGCUACUAACAGAUCGUUUGCCCUUUGUAACUUUUUCAUAACCAACUGGCUCCGAUUUCUCGAAACUACUUAAGCUUUACAGGCUUAAGUAGCUUAUUUCAAAAUGCCAAAAUAUAUACUUAACUAGAUUUUGAUAAAUCAUAAAAACCUCUUCUGAUAAUCAUGAUGAUAAUUCCUUUCUCAAGUAUAAAAUAUCUUAAAGAAGUAAACAUUACGCAAUUUAUUGUAAUCCAAAAAUAGUGAGCUUAGCUUAAUCCUGUUUAAAGGGACUUCAAAAGAUUCGAGAAUUCGGGGCCAGAGCAUUUCUUUAACAUUUCUAGAUCAAAUUCAGUGGAGCUUCAUUCAAUGAUAGAAUUGAAUGAGAGUAAGUAUAUUAUAUAAGAACUAUCAGUCAAGUUAAGCUUUUCGCAGUUAUUGCCAUGUAUGACAUUUUUCCUUGUCCAUAACUUAAAAAUACUUGUUAGAACUUACAUACAAUUGUAAAGCACAGUGAUGGUUAGAACUUAAUUAAACUACAUACAAUUGUAAAGCACAGUGAUAGGAAGUAAAGUAUACAUAACACUAUUAUACCUUAUAAAGAUGGCAUUAUUCCCCUGUCCGGAACAUAACUACUUGAUGAAACUUUAUGAAACAUUUUUUAAAGCACAAUGAGCGGAAAUGCACUGUAUGAAAAGCAUAACUCUAUUUCAGCUCAGUGCAGAGCUACUGCCCUUUGUCACUUUUUUUGUUCGGAAAACUUAAAUACUACUCGAUGGAAUUUAAUUAACAACUCUGUUUUAGGGAAUAUUAGAAUAAUAAUGAAUGCUACACUUGUUUCCCUAGCGCCGGUUGUUGACUCAGUUUGUUGAAGGAUUUGCAUAAUAGCAACAAUGCAUUCAAGAUCUAAGCAAGUAUAUCAUGUAUUGAUUGAAAAAAAAUAUAUGUGUUCCCAACAUUAUUUAAUAAUUAUUAAUGAUUCUGUUUGAUUAUACGUAUAGGAAAACAAAGCAAAUUAUGGACCUUUUUCUUUUGACAUGGACAUUCUGAUUAAGGUUUUGCAUGUAAGCACACAUAUCAGCCAUUAGUUGAUGCAUUGAUUGUAUUUCGACUUUAUACAAUGAUACUCAACCGUUCAUCCCAAUCAAAUAACCAAGUUUAUUUGUGACAUUUGUACUUAACUAUCCAACCUCUGAUUAGGCCAAUUUUAUAGUUCUUUUGGGUUGAUUAUGGCUUGUACGUCAAAACAAAUUGUUUAAGUUGUGCAUGUAAGAAAA